rnacentral:rRNA from 1 species
AGCAGCCGCGGUAAUUCCAGCUCCAAUAGCGUAUAUUAAAGUUGUUGCAGUUAAAAAGCUCGUAGUUGAAUUUCGGGAUCAAUACGUCGGUCGUGCCUCUGGUAUGUACUGGUGUUAUUGAUUUCUCCCUUCUGAUGAAUCAUGAUGUCAUUAAUUUGGUGUCGUGGGGAGUCAGGACUGUUACUUUGAAAAAAUUAGAGUGUUUAAAGCAGGCUUACGCUUGAAUACAUUAGCAUGGAAUAAUGAAAUAGGACGUUCGAUCCUAUUUUGUUGGUUUCUAGGAUCAACGUAAUGAUUAAUAGGGAUAGUUGGGGGCAUUAGUAUUCAAUUGUCAGAGGUGAAAUUCUUGGAUUUAUUGAAGACUAACUACUGCGAAAGCAUUUGCCAAGGAUGUUUUCAUUAAUCAAGAACGAAAGUUAGGGGAUCGAAGACGAUCAGAUACCGUCGUAG